rnacentral:rRNA from 1 species
UACGUAGGGUGCGAGCGUUGUCCGGAAUUAUUGGGCGUAAAGAGCUUGUAGGCGGUUUGUCGCGUCUGCUGUGAAAAUCCGGGGCUCAACCCCGGACUUGCAGUGGGUACGGGCAGACUAGAGUGUGGUAGGGGGAGACUGGAAUUCCUGGUGUAGCGGUGAAAUGCGCAGAUAUCAGGAGGAACACCGAUGGCGAAGGCAGGUCUCUGGGCAUUAACUGGCGCUGAGGAGCGAAAGCAUGGGGAGCGAACAGG